rnacentral:rRNA from 1 species
UACGUAGGGUGCGAGCGUUAAUCGGAAUUACUGGGCGUAAAGCGUGCGCAGGCGGUAAGUUAAGUCUGAUGUGAAAGCCCCGGGCUCAACCUGGGAAUGGCAUUGGAAACUGGCUGGCUAGAGUGUGGCAGAGGGGGGUGGAAUUCCGCGUGUAGCAGUGAAAUGCGUAGAGAUGCGGAGGAACACCGAUGGCGAAGGCAGCCCCCUGGGCCGAAACUGACGCUCAGGCACGAAAGCGUGGGGAGCAAACAGG